rnacentral:rRNA from 1 species
CACGUAGGGCGCGAGCGUUGUCCGGAAUUAUUGGGCGUAAAGAGCUCGUAGGCGGUGUGUCACGUCGUUCGUGAAAACCUGCAGCUUAACUGUGGGCGUGCGGUCGAUACGGGCAUCACUGGAGUUCGGCAGGGGAGACUGGAAUUCCUGGUGUAGCGGUGAAAUGCGCAGAUAUCAGGAGGAACACCGGUGGCGAAGGCGGGUCUCUGGGCCGAUACUGACGCUGAGGAGCGAAAGCGUGGGGAGCGAACAGG